GGAUGCGAUCAUACCAGCACUAAAGCACCGGAUCCCAUCAGAACUCCGAAGUUAAGCGUGCUUGGGCGAGAGUAGUACUGGGAUGGGUGACCUCCUGGGAGGUCCUCGUGUUGCAUUCC
rnacentral:rRNA from 1 species